rnacentral:rRNA from 1 species
UAAAAAUUUAAUUUAAAAUAUUAAAGUAGUAUUAGUUUAAGUUCUUGAAAUUUAAAAAAUUUGGCGGUAUUUUAGUCUAUUCAGAGGAACCUGUUUUGUAAUCGAUAGUCCACGAUGAACCUUACUUAAAUUUGUUGAGUUUAUAUAUCGUUGUUUAUUUGAAUAUUUUAUAAAAAUAAUAAUUUUCUAAUUUUUUAAUUUGAAUAUAUUUCAGAUCAAGAUGUAGCUUAUGUUUAAGUUUAUAAUGGGUUACAUUUAAUUUAUUAAUAGAUUUAUGAUUUAAAUAUUAUAAUGAAAUUGGAUUUGAUAGUAAAUUUAUAUAGAUAAAUAAUUUGAUUUUAGCUCUAAAAUAUG